rnacentral:rRNA from 1 species
GACGAACGCUGGCGGCGCGCCUAACACAUGCAAGUCGAACGAGAGAGAGGGAGCUUGCUUCCUCAAUCGAGUGGCGAACGGGUGAGUAACGCGUGAGGAACCUGCCUCAAAGAGGGGGACAACAGUUGGAAACGACUGCUAAUACCGCAUAAGCCCACAGGUCGGCAUCGACCAGAGGGAAAAGGAGCAAUCCGCUUUGAGAUGGCCUCGCGUCCGAUUAGCUAGUUGGUGAGGUAAUGGCCCACCAAGGCGACGAUCGGUAGCCGGACUGAGAGGUUGAACGGCCACAUUGGGACUGAGACACGGCCCAGACUCCUACGGGAGGCAGCAGUGGGGAAUAUUGCACAAUGGGGGAAACCCUGAUGCAGCGACGCCGCGUGGAGGAAGAAGGUCUUCGGAUUGUAAACUCCUGUUGUUGAGGAAGAUAAUGACGGUACUCAACAAGGAAGUGACGGCUAACUACGUGCCAGCAGCCGCGGUAAAACGUAGGUCACAAGCGUUGUCCGGAAUUACUGGGUGUAAAGGGAGCGCAGGCGGGAAGACAAGUUGGAAGUGAAAUCUAUGGGCUCAACCCAUAAACUGCUUUCAAAACUGUCUUUCUUGAGUAGUGCAGAGGUAGGCGGAAUUCCCGGUGUAGCGGUGGAAUGCGUAGAUAUCGGGAGGAACACCAGUGGCGAAGGCGGCCUACUGGGCACCAACUGACGCUGAGGCUCGAAAGUGUGGGUAGCAAACAGGAUUAGAUACCCUGGUAGUCCACACCGUAAACGA